GGGGCGAUGGCGUAGUUGGGAGCGCGUCAGACUGAAGUCAAACUUCGGCCAUAGCAAAUCUGAAGGUCGCCGGUUCGAUCCCGGCUCACCCCA